CCGAGGAGCUCCUGUCUGUCUGCUUGUCCCACACUGCACGCUACCCCAGCGCAGGCUGCUGCAGACGCCAGGUGAUAUAUGCUCUGGAGGAGACCCCAGCAGAAAUGCAGCAUAACUAAUGAGUGUUAAGCUGAUCUGAACUGCAGCCGGUGGAGUCUCCCAAGUUCCAACAAGGUGCCCUGGUUGGUCCUGAAUUUGGCCUGUGCCUGCUCAUCUGAUGUUGACUCUGUUAGCUCCUGACACCUGGAGAGAGGAGGAGAUUUCAUCUGGCAAAUGGACCUUAUCUCUGAAUCGAGCCUGACCUGAUGUUUGGUGGACCAAGGUCUCUGCUGCUUGAGAGAGAUUAAUAGAUCCCAAGACCAGAAGGGACCACUGUGAUCAUCUAAUCGAAUCUGUUGCACAGUCCAUAGAAUUUACCCAGUGUUGGAAUUUCCUCCAAUCCAGCACAAAUUUGCACUACUGGAUUUUUCUGGCAGGCCCCACUGAAGGCGGAAGGCCCAGCACACGACUUAGAAGGAUGUAGCUGCAGAGGACCCAGGGCCCAGUCACCAAAAUGGAAGGCAGUGCCCUGGCCAAGAGAUGACAACAGCUAUUGAACGCUGGCCCCUGCUGAAGCUCCUACUGGAGGCUGAAGGCACUGUGCCCCAGGAGGAAUGGCAUGAAGCAAUACACAGUAAAGUUCUGCCUCUUUUCCAGCAAGGUGUCUGCUAUGUGCUAGGGCCCCCCCAGGCCCUUUGUGGAAGAAAUGAGGCCAAAUGCUUCUCACAGACUGAUUUGCAUGAAUUACCCUCUGUAGCAGAAGAGAACAAGCCCCGCUGACCAAGGGAGGAGUGACAACUAAAGAUAAAAGGCCAGCAGCACUGUGAGUAGCUGGGACGCCGUCUUCCAGCAAACUCCAUCUAUGGCCACUGCCCCUGUGCUGAAAGGAGGACAUUGGCUUUUGAGAGAUGUGCACAGGGUGAUCCCAUCUCCCUGCGUGUGCAUGUCUACGCUGCACUGCCUAGAACCCAUCUCUUGAUCAGAAGGCAGUACGGCACCUGAGGGUGUGUAGAGACUGCAGCACCCAGCAAACACAAUGUGCAGCCCUACUAUUCUGAAUUGCCAUUGCAGGGGAAACUCUACAUGGCAAAGUCGUGAUAUUGUUAGCUCACAAGCACAGCAAGUCCUGUUGAGAGAGAACUUUGUGACGCAAGAGCGUGAGUUAACCAACCUCUGGGCAGACUGUUAAAAACCAGGGCACAAUCAGGGCCGCCCAGAGGAUUCAGGGGGCCUGGGGCAAAGCGGGGGAGCUUGUAUACACUGGGUGGUGCUCUGAGUCUGCGGCGGCGGCAGCA